GGGAAUAUGGCUUAGUGGUAAAGUGCUUGCCUAGCAUGCAUUAAGCCCUGGGUUCAAUUCCUCAGUACCA
rfam:Dipodomys ordii contig_8402, whole genome shotgun sequence.